rnacentral:rRNA from 1 species
UCAUAUUCUAGUGGCGGACGGGUGAGUAACGCGUGGGCAACCUGCCCUGUACCGGGGGAUAACACUUAGAAAUAAGUGCUAAUACCGCAUAAUAGGGAAUACCGCAUGGUAAUCCUUUGAAAACUCCGGUGGUACAGGAUGGGCCCGCGUCUGAUUAGCCAGUUGGCGGGGUAACGGCCCACCAAAGCGACGAUCAGCAGCCGGCCUGAGAGGGUGGACGGCCACACUGGGACUGAGACACGGCCCAGACUCCUACGGAAGGCAGCAG